rnacentral:rRNA from 1 species
UACGUAGGGUGCGAGCGUUGUCCGGAAUUAUUGGGCGUAAAGAGCUCGUAGGCGGUGUGUCGCGUCGGCCGUGAAGACCUGGGGCUCAACUCUGGGCGUGCGGUCGAUACGGGCAUCACUUGAGUUCGGCAGGGGAGACUGGAAUUCCUGGUGUAGCGGUGAAAUGCGCAGAUAUCAGGAGGAACACCGAUGGCGAAGGCAGGUCUCUGGGCCACUACUGACGCUGAGACGCGAAAGCGUGGGGAGCAAACAGG